rnacentral:lncRNA from 1 species
UGUUAAUUUGAAAUUAUUUCAAACUAAAAGUUUUUUUAAAAAAGUCGUGAGAGAAUUUUAUUAAUCUCCUGUGCAUUUGUAGUUAUUUCUCUUUUCCCGGUCUUUUAAAACACUAGCUCAGCCAAGACAGAAUUGCGGUGUACUUCUCCUGGCGUUCAUACUGUACAACCAAUUGUUACAGGCCCAGAAGAAGAAGACUAACGCUAUUUGUCUGUGGACAAAUCCAAUACUUGUUUUCUUUGGUAUUAUAGAGUUGAGAAUUUCUUACACAAUUUUACGCAGCUUAUAGUUACAUGGAUAUAUGAUCCAGAAAAUGCAGAUUGGAAUGAGGUGAAGAGGCGUGCAGAUACACCUUCACUAGUAAGUGGAAACAUGAUCUUUAUUGUCAUAUAUAAAAUAAUAUCUUACCUUUCUUUUUCUUAGGGCAGUGCUUAAUUUAUAAUAGAUACAAUUUUAACCUGCC